rnacentral:rRNA from 1 species
AACGAACGCUGGCGGCAGGCUUAACACAUGCAAGUCGAACGGGUGUCGCAAGACAUCAGUGGCAGACGGGUGAGUAACACGUGGGAACCUUCCUAGGGGUACGGAACAACUCAGGGAAACUUGAGCUAAUACCGUAUACGUCCGUAAGGAGAAAGAUUCAUCGCCCCUAGACGGGCCCGCGUCGGAUUAGGUAGUUGGUGGGGUAACGCCUACCAAGCCUACGAUCCGUAGCUGAUCUGAGAGGANGAUCAGCCACACUGGGACUGAGACACGGCCCAGACUCCUACGGGAGGCAGCAGUGGGGAAUCUUGGACAAUGGGCGCAAGCCUGAUCCAGCCAUGCCGCGUGAGUGAAGAAGGCCUUAGGGUUGUAAAGCUCUUUUACCAGGGACGAUAAUGACGGUACCUGGAGAAUAAGCCCCGGCAAACUUCGUGCCAGCAGCCGCCG